UAGAAACACACGCCAGGUAAGUUCUGCGCAGCCGCGUAACCAACCCCUCGCUGUGUGGAAGCCACAGGAUCCUCUCCCUGGUCGCUUCUCGUGAAAAUGAGCCAUCACUCAACUCUGUACGACCACAUCUAUCUCAAACGUGUACCGCCGCGAACCAUCAAGAAGACGGAACGGCCAAACCGAAACGCUGUGAAUUUCCUCACAACCGGUGAUGUGGGGAAGGCUGGGGCUGUGCAGAAACACUUCGGAGCUGCCUCCGUGUCUCCGACACUCAUUGGUGUUGACAGAGCACAGCGCCGGAACUGUUUUAAGAGCGCGCUGACCCAGGGGAGGCCCGUCACAGAUAUAGACACCAAGCCCUCGCUGGUGUGAGCCGAGUAAAAAUUGAAAGCACUUUGCCAAGACUUUAGAGCAAUGCACCAAUAAACUGCAAUUCCACGAUACUCCCCACAAAUGCAUGGCUACAAUUACAUCCUGCGAUAACAGACGGACGAGCACCUUCACAGUGCACUGCGGAUAUUUACAAAAGCGCCCACACCAAGCAUUGUGCAUCUCAAGCAGCGGAAUUAUAAAAGGGCUGUUCGUGCACGGAGGUCAGCCGUGGGAGUCGAAUCGCUGACGAAACCUGGCUCGAUGGAGAGCACGCUGCCGCCCAUCGGCUCCCCAGCGGCGUGACAAGUGAAAGCUGCUUACGAAGUAGCUGCUGCAUCCCCCCCCCCCCCCCCACUUGGCCGAGGAGCCCACUGAAGUACCUAAUUGCCUGAGCAUGUUAAUCAAAUUGCAUUAGCAAAAUAUCCCUACCUUGUUUUUUCCUACAGGGCCCUCCUUUUAAUUAAGGAGCCCAGGCAUGCAAACAGAGGCGUUCCGAAAUCCCUACGCUCGGUGCAAAUAUAGUAUGUGUACGUGCAUCACCGCGCUGGGGCUGGUGUUGCAUGCAUGCGUGCGUUCAUGGUGUUUCAUCCAGAGGAGAUGCUGACAGUUUUUGUUUUAGGAAGUGUGCGACGUACAUCUGUAAUCGCAACGCAGCAGCAUUUGCAAGCCACGGCCUGUGCUGCUACAAGGCCACGGCCACGCGCAAGCAGAUCCGGUGGCCAAAGAAUGGCCCUGGGCCGUUCCAGCUCGCAUCUUGUCCCCACGCUUUGCGAGCCACGAAAUCUCCAAGGUCUCGGUCCCUCCCACUAUGUCCCCUCCUCCCCAGCCACCCCCCUGCCCCUUUCUAACUCCGCUUGGUUACUUCUGCCUACUGAACCGUACAAUUAGUGGCCUUAACGGCUUGCCAGAAAGGCUAUUAAAGCAGGAACAUGUAGAUAUGGCAUGCAAAUUGCAUGAACUGUAGGCUCGUAUAUAUGUGUAAAAAACAUGUUACUACCAUUGCUAAAUGCCCAUUUCAAAUCAUUAAUCCCUGUAUUUUCUUGGGAAGGAGGGGCAAGAUAUUUUAAGCACAGCACCGUUCAUCCUAGAGACUGGCUUAACCACUGCGUGCCAAAUCAGCCCACGACUACAUUAGCUCUGCACUGCACGCCGCCUGGCACAGGUCAGCAUGAAGGACCCACGGCAGCAUGGCACGU